CAGUAGCCGCGGUAAUACCGAGGGUGCGAGCGUUAAUCGGAUUUACUGGGCGUAAAGCGUGCGUAGGCGGCUAAUUGAGUCGGAUGUGAAAUCCCCGAGCUUAACUUGGGAAUUGCAUUCGAUACUGGUUAGCUAGAGUGUGGGAGAGGAUGGUAGAAUUCCAGGUGUAGCGGUGAAAUGCGUAGAGAUCUGGAGGAAUACCGAUGGCGAAGGCAGCCAUCUGGCCUAACACUGACGCUGAGGUACGAAAGCAUGGGGAGCAAACAGGAUUAGAUACCCCAGUAGUCCCUGUCUCUUAUAC
rnacentral:rRNA from 1 species